UCCCAGACUCGGUCCCGCGGGCUUUAAGGGGCCCGGGCGGCGAAGGCGCACGGAGCCAAGUUCCGGGCAGCAGCCCUGGGAUGCCCUGAGCCGGGCCGGGCGGAGGUCUCCGUUGCCUAGCAACCGGGGCCGCGGCCUGUGGGCGGAGCCUGCACCGUGGCUGCGACACGGGGCGGGGCCUCAGCGGGAGCCGGCCGAGGAGCGGGCACCGACCAUUGGCGCAUGCGUAGGGCGCGGCCUUGGGGCGCGGCCCAUCCAGUGGCGGAGUCUUCUGAGGGGCGGGUCGUGGCCGGGGCCUGGAGGCGGAGCCGGCGCCGUCAGUAGUCGGCUGAGGACGGAGGCGGGGCUGGGCCUGGGAGGGGGCGGGGCCUGCGCUGGUGGCGCGGGCGGGGGAGGAGACACGGCCUAGCGCCCGAGUGGGGGCCGUUGGUUGGUGCGCGGCUGAAGGGUGUGGCGCGAGCAGCGUCGUUGGUUGGCCGGCGGCGGGCCGGGACGGGCAUGGCCCUGCUGCUGUGCCUGGUGAGCCUGACGGCGGCGCUGGCCCACGGCUGUCUGCACUGCCACAGCAACUUCUCCAAGAAGUUCUCCUUCUACCGCCACCAUGUGAACUUCAAGUCCUGGUGGGUGGGCGACAUCCCCGUGUCAGGGGCGCUGCUCACCGACUGGAACGACGACACGAUGAAGGAGCUGCACCUGGCCAUCCCCGCCAAGAUCACCCGGGAGAAGCUGGACCAAGUGGCGACAGCAGUGUACCAGAUGAUGGAUCAGCUCUACCAGGGGAAGAUGUACUUCCCCGGGUAUUUCCCCAACGAGCUGCGAAACAUCUUCCGGGAGCAGGUGCACCUCAUCCAGAACGCCAUCAUCGAAAGCCGCAUCGACUGUCAGCACCGCUGUGGUAAGCAAGGCUCCGUCCAGGCUGAGGGGCGCGCCGGUGGCAGCUCGGGGCCCUGGAGGCCGAGGGGAGCCCUGGCGGCUCUCGUGUGUUUCAGGCAUCUUCCAGUACGAGACCAUCUCCUGCAACAACUGCACAGACUCGCACGUCAC
rnacentral:sRNA from 1 species